rnacentral:rRNA from 1 species
AUUGAACGCUGGCGGCGUGCUUAACACAUGCAAGUCGAUCGGUAACGCGGGGGCAACCCUGGCGACGAGAGGCGGACGGGUGAGGAACGCUUGGGAAUCCGCCUAUCAGCGGGGGACAACACGGGGAAACUCGUGCUAAUACCGCAUACGCUCUACGGAGGAAAGCCGGGGACCGCAAGGCCUGGCACUGAUAGAUGAGCCCAAGCCGGAUUAGCUAGCUGGCGGGGUAACGGCCCACCAAGGCGACGAUCCGUAGCUGGUCUGAGAGGACGAUCAGCCACACUGGAACUGAGACACGGUCCAGACUCCUACGGGAGGCAGCAGUGGGGAAUAUUGGACAAUGGGGGAAGCCCUGAUCCAGCGACGCCGCGUGGGUGAAGAAGGCCUGCGGGUUGUAAAGCCCUUUCGGUAGGGACGAAAGCUCUCGACCUAACACGUCGGGAGGUUGACUUAACCUACAAAAGAAGCACCGGCUAACUCUGUGCCAGCCGCCGCCGUAACAC